GAGGUCCGACCUGCCCAGUGAUAUUAAUUCAACGGCCGCGGUAUUCUGACCGUGCUAAGGUAGCACAAUCACUUGUCUCUUAAAUGGGGACUAGUAUGAAAGGCCCCACGAGGGUCUAACUGUCUCCUUUUUUUAAUCUGUGAAACUAAUCUCCCCGUGAAGAAGCGGGGAUUAUUCUAUAAGACGAGAAGACCCUAUGGAGCUUUAGAUGAAACAAUAUAUUUCCCCUGCUACUUCAAAAAUCAACUACCAGGGAAUUUUAUUGCUAGUCUUUGGUUGGGGCGGCCGCGGAGAAAAACUUAUCCUCCACGAUGAGUGGGAACUUCCCAUAAUGAAGAGCCACAGCUCAAUGUAUCAAAAAAUUGACAGUUGACCCAAGAUUUGAUCAACGAAACAAGUUACCCUAGGGAUAACAGCGCAAUCUACUUCAAGAGUACUUAUUGACGAGUGGGUUU
rnacentral:rRNA from 2 species